GCAGAGCCUGGGCAUGCGGCGAGCCACCCCUGCCACCCCUUUCCCGCUGGAAACCACAGUCACUUUUUCAUGAACCAGCACAGGCUCUCCUGAGAGCCCUGGAGGGAAGGCUCCGGCUAUACUGCCUCCUGGUGUGAGGAGGCUUCGCUCUUGUCUGU
rnacentral:antisense_RNA from 1 species